GAGUGUAACAUAAUAGCCACCGCUACACGCGCUGAUAUGUGAUGUGUGAUAUGUGAUAUGCAUCAUGUUACGUCAUCACCAGGUUGCUAUAAAAGAUGAGUGCGUAGGAAAUAAAGGCCAGUGUUUUUCCACGGUA